rfam:Candidatus Adlerbacteria bacterium RIFCSPHIGHO2_02_FTLL_52_17 rifcsphigho2_02_scaffold_10480, whole genome shotgun sequence.
GGAGAGGUGCCAGAGCGGUCGAAUGGAGCAACCUGCUAAGUUGUUGACCCCGAAAGGGGUCCGAGGGUUCGAAUCCCUCCCUCUCCG